rnacentral:lncRNA from 1 species
UCUUAAGAAUUGUCUUCCCUUUUCUUAACACAAACCCCAGAAACAAGGGUAAUUCGAAGGACCAAAAAACUUUCAAGCUAAUAAUUACUAAAAUUUUUAAUUUACAAAGAAAAUAAUUUUUCAAACUCAGUGGCAGCUCCUUCCUACUCUUUCCUCUUCUUCUACUUGUUAACAUCUUCACGGCGGUUUUCUUCAAAAAAUUCCGCUUUACUCAGUACCUCUUUGGAAAUCCCAGAUUUAUAAAGGCUUUGAAGACCUAAAGAUCUGCUCUUCCUUGGACUCUUAACACCUGCAGAAUUUUCUAUGCUAUUUGCCAUCAACAAUCCCUCAAUCCAAUCACCCCAAGACAAUUGUUGAGAAAAACUAGAGCUUGAAGAUAUUAAACAAAAGCUUUAGUAGCUGUUAAGUUUAAUAUUAUUCAUUGACUUAAAGAAGCUUUUAUAGGCCAUUACAAAACAGAAAUAAUAACAAUUGUAUCCACGAUCAUUUAUCGUGAAUAUCUCUAAGGAAGAAUAAAUCAAAGAGAAACAAUAUCCUACAAACUAGGAUUUAUUUCAAC